UAUAAAAAAUCAGAUGAAUAAAAUCUCUUCAUAAUUGGGUUUUCUCAUUUAUAUUCUAAUAAUAGGGUGUUGUUAUAUGGUUCUCUUUUUUGCAAAUGACAAGGAGAUUCAAAGUGGUGUUGACCAUUUCAAAGAGUCUGCAGUCAUUCAAGGUAGCAGGGGAAUCUGCAGUGAUGGAAAUCACCAUCCAAUUAAUGAAUGAUUAUUGACUUAAUCUCUAUGUGCUUUAUGGCACUUCAAAUGAAGAUGGAAGUGCGGUGGAAACUUCAUGGAUAGAUUGCAGGUAUGAAGACAUUUACAGCUGAGAAUUGAAGCUCGAGGGAAACUACUUGCAGUCAGUGUUGAAGAAAGCGCAAGAAACACUGCCUAAACACUUCAAAAACUGGCAUCUCUCAGUUAGUUGAUGUCCACGUGCUGUUGUAUUGGAGUUGACAGACACAGGAGGCUCAAGCUUAAAGGAUGCUAGAUGUUAUCUAAUUGAUUUUUACUAGAGAUUUUCAGAGUUAUCCUUGCAUAGACAAUGAACUUCGGGUGAGCCAUGCAAGCCCCGCAGGUUAUAGCGAGCAAACAACGAGGAUGCAUGCUCCCGCCAGCCUGCAAAAUUUAGCACAAAGCAAUCGUUGAUUAAUUUGUAGCAAAUAACACAGUCU